AAGCCAUCGAUGCCCUUGUCGAUGCUCAACUAUGUUACGACAAGUGCACAAACGGAAACGAAAAUGGCGAAUACAAAAUAAACAAACCACAAACAGAAAUAGAAGAAUACACAGAUUUAUGUGAAAAAUCUAUUGCAGGAAAAAACCACGGGCGAGAGAGACGAGAACUUCACUAUCGAAUGAAAAAGAGAACACAAUGUUAAGAGAGUACAACCAACUUCAAUAUGUCGCCUCUAGGGCAAAAAUGGCAAAGGAAAUUCUUAACGGGUUUCGGAUCUGAUCCAUACCGUGGGGGCCGUACCCCCCGGCGAACGUCAGUGGUGGGUUAUGGGCUCGGGCCUGUCGGUCCGAACCCUCCGCUACCCACCACAAACAUUCAUUUUUUCUUUACAAUUUUUAUUUUUCAAUUUGGUCGCACCGCGAAACUGUCGACAAGUCGAAAUUCCGAACUGAAGUCGAUUAUCAAUUUCGAAUCACAUCUAACAAACUACUUCACCACGAGAACUUCGAUAUUCACAAUAAUAUCAAUCUCAAGACUAGA
rnacentral:lncRNA from 1 species